rnacentral:misc_RNA from 1 species
GAACGCACAUUGCGCCCGCUAGUAUUCUGGCGGGCAUGCCUGUUCGAGCGUCAUUCAAACCUUCAAGCUCUGCUUGGUGUUGGGCGUCUGUCCUGCCUCACGGCGCGGACUCGCCUCAAAUCUAUUGGCGGCCGGCACGUUGGCUUCGAGCGCAGCAGAAACGCGAACUCGGGCCCGACGGAUCGGCUCCCAGAAGCUACCCCCAUGAAUUUGACCUCGGAUCAGGUAGGGAUACCCGCUGAACUUAAG